GCAUUAAUGGGGUAGUGGUAACCUGGGUCGUUGCCAUUUGACGUUAUAUCAGACGUUUCGACCCGCCGGGGGUUCGAUUCCCUCUUAAUGCA